GAUGAACGCUGGCGGCGUGCCUAAUACAUGCAAGUCGAGCGAACGGACGAGAAGCUUGCUUCUCUGAUGUUAGCGGCGGACGGGUGAGUAACACGUGGAUAACCUACCUAUAAGACUGGGAUAACUUCGGGAAACCGGAGCUAAUACCGGAUAAUAUUUUGAACCGCAUGGUUCAAAAGUGAAAGACGGUCUUGCUGUCACUUAUAGAUGGAUCCGCGCUGCAUUAGCUAGUUGGUAAGGUAACGGCUUACCAAGGCAACGAUGCAUAGCCGACCUGAGAGGGUGAUCGGCCACACUGGAACUGAGACACGGUCCAGACUCCUACGGGAGGCAGCAGUAGGGAAUCUUCCGCAAUGGGCGAAAGCCUGACGGAGCAACGCCGCGUGAGUGAUGAAGGUCUUCGGAUCGUAAAACUCUGUUAUUAGGGAAGAACAUAUGUGUAAGUAACUGUGCACAUCUUGACGGUACCUAAUCAGAAAGCCACGGCUAACUACGUGCCAGCAGCCGCGGUAAUACGUAGGUGGCAAGCGUUAUCCGGAAUUAUUGGGCGUAAAGCGCGCGUAGGCGGUUUUUUAGUCUGAUGUGAAAGCCCACGGCUCAACCGUGGAGGGUCAUUGGAAACUGGAAAACUUGAGUGCAGAAGAGGAAAGUGGAAUUCCAUGUGUAGCGGUGAAAUGCGCAGAGAUAUGGAGGAACACCAGUGGCGAAGGCGACUUUCUGGUCUGUAACUGACGCUGAUGUGCGAAAGCGUGGGGAUCAAACAGGAUUAGAUACCCUGGUAGUCCACGCCGUAAACGAUGAGUGCUAAGUGUUAGGGGGUUUCCGCCCCUUAGUGCUGCAGCUAACGCAUUAAGCACUCCGCCUGGGGAGUACGACCGCAAGGUUGAAACUCAAAGGAGUUGACGGGGACCCGCACAAGCGGUGGAGCAUGUGGUUUAAUUCGAAGCAACGCGAAGAACCUUACCAAAUCUUGACAUCCUUUGACAACUCUAGAGAUAGAGCCUUCCCCUUCGGGGGACAAAGUGACAGGUGGUGCAUGGUUGUCGUCAGCUCGUGUCGUGAGAUGUUGGGUUAAGUCCCGCAACGAGCGCAACCCUUAAGCUUAGUUGCCAUCAUUAAGUUGGGCACUCUAAGUUGACUGCCGGUGACAAACCGGAGGAAGGUGGGGAUGACGUCAAAUCAUCAUGCCCCUUAUGAUUUGGGCUACACACGUGCUACAAUGGACAAUACAAAGGGCAGCGAAACCGCGAGGUCAAGCAAAUCCCAUAAAGUUGUUCUCAGUUCGGAUUGUAGUCUGCAACUCGACUACAUGAAGCUGGAAUCGCUAGUAAUCGUAGAUCAGCAUGCUACGGUGAAUACGUUCCCGGGUCU
rnacentral:rRNA from 1 species